GAUGAAGAACGUAGCGAAAUGCGAUAAGUAAUGCGGAUUGCAGAAUUUCCGUGAGUCAUCGAAUCUUUGAACGCACAUUGCGCCCACUGGUAUUCCGGUGGGCAUGCCUGUUCGAGCGUCAUUAUCCUCCCUCAAACCUCUGUGUUUGGUGUUGGGCCGCGUUGGCGUCACAGCCAACUGGUCUCAAAGACAAUGACGGCGUCCGUGGGACCCUCUUCGCAACGAGCAUCUUCGGAAGCACGCGUCGAGUCUAAAGGACCUUCCGGGCCGGUCUACCCUUUAUCUUUCUAAGGUUGACCUCGGAUCAGGUAGGAAUACCCGCUGAACUUAAGCAUAUCAAUAAGCGGAGGA
rnacentral:misc_RNA from 1 species